rnacentral:rRNA from 1 species
ACACAGAGGGUGCGAGCGUUAAUCGGAAUUACUGGGCGUAAAGCGCGCGUAGGCGGCUUGGUCAGUCGGAUGUGAAAGCCCCGGGCUCAACCUGGGAAUGGCAUUCGAUACUGCCAGGCUAGAGUAUGGGAGAGGGAAGUGGAAUUUCCGGUGUAGCGGUGAAAUGCGUAGAUAUCGGAAGGAACACCAGUGGCGAAGGCGACUUCCUGGCCCAAUACUGACGCUGAGGUGCGAAAGCGUGGGGAGCGAACAGGAGUAGAUACCCCAGUAGUCC